GACGUAGGGCGCGAGCGUUGUCCGGAUUUAUUGGGCGUAAAGAGCUCGUAGGCGGCUUGUUGCGUCAGCUGUGAAAACCCGCAGCUCAACUGUGGGCCUGCAGCCGAUACGGGCAGGCUAGAGUUCGGUAGGGGAGACUGGAAUUCCUGGUGUAGCGGUGAAAUGCGCAGAUAUCAGGAGGAACACCGGUGGCGAAGGCGGGUCUCUGGGCAACAACUGACGCUGAGGAGCGAAAGCGUGGGGAGCGAACAGG
rnacentral:rRNA from 1 species